GUGGGGGAUAUUGCACAAUGGGGGAAACCCUGAUGCAGCGACGCCGCGUGAGUGAAGAAGUAUUUCGGUAUGUAAAGCUCUAUCAGCAGGGAAGAAAAUGACGGUACCUGACUAAGAAGCUCCGGCUAAAUACGUGCCAGCAGCCGCGGUAAUACGUAUGGAGCAAGCGUUAUCCGGAUUUACUGGGUGUAAAGGGAGCGUAGACGGUAAUGCAAGUCAGAUGUGAAAACCCUGGGCUUAACCCAGGACGUGCAUUUGAAACUGUAGAACUAGAGUGCAGGAGAGGUAAGCGGAAUUCCUAGUGUAGCGGUGAAAUGCGUAGAUAUUAGGAGGAACACCAGUGGCGAAGGCGGCUUACUGGACUGUAACUGACGUUGAGGCUCGAAAGCGUGGGGAGCAAACAGG
rnacentral:rRNA from 1 species